rnacentral:pre_miRNA from 1 species
GAAAAGAAUAAGGUCUGCAAUGCUAUCAGGUGUUACCAAGAGUUCCCUUGACCACUUCAUUGGGAAAUAGUCUCUUUUGUAACUAUAAAUCCUACUGAAGUGUUUGGGGGAACUCCUGGUUGCAUUUGAUUUUACAAAGAACAAAAAUUAUC